GUUUGUCAAUGAAUAAGUGCAAACAGAUUUUAUUUCUCUACAAAAACAGUUUUGUAAAAUCAUGAUUAAUUAAAGUCCGGAUUGAUGAUACCAUAGGGUCAUUUUUUGGUUUAUGAAUUACAAGCGAGACAGAGAGAGUUAAACGCAUAAAGUCAAAGUAAGAGCUAAGUAUGUAUUUGACCAGUUCCUAUUUCCGUCUAUCAACAUCUAAAUAUAGUUAUAAUAUGUAAAUCCUGAUUUUCUAAUUUAAACAUACUUUCUUUGUAAAAUGGUAUAUUUGCAAGAUAAAAUUUAGUAGAUAGCAAGCUAUAGCAAAGCCACUUAGUGGGAAUGCAAUGAGUUCAUACAGCAAAAUGUCUGUGAUGAAAUCAACAUGUAUAUUUACUCAAAAC
rnacentral:lncRNA from 1 species